rnacentral:tRNA from 1 species
GCGCCUGUAGCGCAACGGAUAGCGCAAUGGCCUCCGGAGCCAUGUGUGGCCGUUCGAUUCGGCCCAGGCGCACGA